rnacentral:rRNA from 1 species
AGUGAACGCUGGCGGUAGGCCUAACACAUGCAAGUCGAACGGCAGCACAGUAAGAGCUUGCUCUUACGGGUGGCGAGUGGCGGACGGGUGAGGAAUACAUCGGAAUCUACUUUUUCGUGGGGGAUAACGUAGGGAAACUUACGCUAAUACCGCAUACGACCUACGGGUGAAAGCAGGGGAUCUUCGGACCUUGCGCGAUUGAAUGAGCCGAUGUCGGAUUAGCUAGUUGGCGGGGUAAAGGCCCACCAAGGCGACGAUCCGUAGCUGGUCUGAGAGGAUGAUCAGCCACACUGGAACAGAGACACGGUCCAGACUCCUACGGGAGGCAGCAGUGGAGAAUAUUGGACAAUGGGCGCAGGCCUGAUCCAGCCAUACCGCGUGGGUGAAGAAGGCCUUCGGGUUGUAAAGCCCUUUUGUUGGGAAAGAAAAGCAGCAGGUUAAUACCCCGCUGUUCUGACGGUACCCAAAGAAUAAGCACCGGCUAACUUCG